UCUCUUUAGUACUUGAUGUUCUGAGCCUGCCUCUCCUCUCCUUUUCCCAGCCCUGAGUUUUACCCUCACAUCACCUGGAAGCUGUUGGUUGAAAUAUUUCAUGCUCGGUUUAUAUGUAACGCUCAACAAGUGCACAGGACAGCUCUUAAAAGGUCACGUUUAUACAAAUCUGUAAUGCAUGUGUAUAAAAUAGAUCAGUUUAGAGUGAAUUCUGAACCUGUGUAAAACAUGGAAAGGUUUUCUUAGGGCAAUCCACUUUAAUGCUUGGUCAGAGGAGGCCUGGACCUCACCACCCUCACAAGGAAGAAUUCCUUCCCAAUAUCCCACCUAACCCUGCCCCCUGGCAGUGGGAAGCCAUCCCCCCUUGUCCUAUCUCUCCAGACCCUUGUCCUAAGUCCCUCUCCAGCUCUCCUGGAGCCCCUUCAGGCACUGAAGGGAGCUCUAAGGUCCCCCUGGGGUCUUCCCUUCUCCAUGUGAACAGCCCCAGCUCGCCAAUCCUGGCUCCAGAGCAGAGGGGCUCCAGCCUUUGGAGCAUCUCCAUGGCCUCCUCUGGACUUGCUCCAGCAGCUCUAUGUCCUUGUUAUGUUGGAAGCCCAAGAGCUGGAGGCAGCUCUGCAGGUGGGGUCUCACCAGAAUGGAAUUGAGUGGCAGAAUCACCCCCCUCGACCUGCUGGCCUUAAGCCCUCUCCCAUCUCUGCCCUUCCUGGGAAUGGCUGCAGACACACCAGCCAGCCAUGGAGCGGGGAGUGUGGGCUGUGCCUCCAGCUGCUCCAUCAUCCUGGCUCUGAGCAUGGAGGUGACACUUCUCCUCAGCAGCAGAUUCUCCCCUAGGCAGCUCUUCUCCGGGGCUGUUUGCCCUGACCAGGGAUGGGGAUUUUCCCAGCCGGAGUCCCUCGGGGUACAAGAUAAGGAGGAGAACUGCAAUUGCAGUUUCAGCUGAGGGGCUGUGAUUCACCUGGCUGACAUCACUCCAGGGCCGGUUACACCCCGGGGCUGUGCGCUGCCUAAUGGACUUCCUUCUGGGAAAAGCUACUCAGUCACUCAGCUGCUGAGAAGCAAAUCCUGAUGAUUCAGUGUUGCUGUAUGUGACUUAGAUGAGGUGAAUUCUUGUUCUGCGCUUAAAUCCAGAGGGGCAGGUGCUCAGCUGCUGAAUCACAUCUGCCUGUGAGCAGAUCAAUCCCCGCAGGGCAGGAGAGCCGUGGUAUUUACACCGUGGUUUACAAACCCUUAAUGCCUCUGUGCAGCCUCUCUGGUGAUUGCCCAUAUUAUGCUCAGUGCCUGCCAGUCCCUUCCCAAUGCAAACACCUAAUUAAUUCCCGUGCUUUUAAGGAAAUGAAGCCAUACAGAAAUAUGCCACCGGUAACAAAUUAUGUGGUAGCAAUGCCACCGAUUAAUGCUGCAGGAAAUAAUACUCUAUUUCAGAUGCUGAAUGGGUUUUUUUUUUGUUCUAAAUUAAUUUGCCAUCAUACAAUAAAUCACAGAAUGAAUCAUAAAACGGUUUGGGUUGGAAAGGACCUCAAAGAUCACUCAGUUCCAACCCCCCUGCCAUAGGCAGGGACAAAAAUACCAUCCUGCCUGGAAGUUGCUAAAUUAACAUGCAGACAUUGUCCAAAGGGCUAGAAGGGAAUUUUAUUUUUUUCCCCUCUUAUUUUCAUUAUCUGAGAGCAAAUAAGUGUAUAAGUCUGCAGUACCAUGGAUGGCUGUCCCAGUGCUCCCAGCCUCCAGCACACCUCCCAUCCCAGCGCUCCCAUCUUGCCUCUCCAGGAAGCUGAUGGAUACUGCAGGAUUUCUAAAAACCAGCAGCUGCCAAGACACCAUCAGUCCCUACUGGAAUUGUGAUUACCUCCUUGCCCAGGUGAUGCAGAAGCUUCGGAUGUUUCCCAUGCAGGGCCAUCAGAAGUGAUCUCAGGACAUCAGCCAGGGAAGACCAUCAAUGCCAGGGGUUAAUGAGGCUGAGAACAGAGACUGUUGGGUGUCCAGCUAAUCAUCAGGAGGGGAGAGCUGGCUGGGUACAACGGUUCUUCAGCAGGGGCUCCUGCUUCCACAGCUCCAGGUGGUGUGGGCAGGGCUGCAGCUGAGGGUAGGUUACGUCCCUGGGACACUGGGCACAUCAGCACAUUCUGCUGGUUCAAAUGCAGAAGAGCUCAGUUGAGAAAAUGUGAAAUGAAGCCUGUUACUGGUCUAAACCCAGCUCUGAAAAUGAAAGUAACCACUUCUACAAGUUUAAAACCGGUGCCAUGUAGCAGCUCGGUGAGUCUACUCUCACCCAGAAGGACAUUGGGUGUAUUCCUGGUGGGCUCUCAGCAGCUGGGAUGUCUGGAAGGAGCAGCACAGCAGCAUCGAGAUGCUUCACCUGCCACCCAAACCCCACUGUGGGUAGUGAGAAAUGAAUUUGCUAGUGUGGAAAAUCUGGGCAUUAUUGAGAAGUUAAGUCAGUCUCCAACUGGAUUAAUUCACUGCUGGUAGCUGGAAAAAUUAAUAAAGUGCAGAUCUGAAUCAA